GAAAGGCCAUGUUGGAGGGAUCGUGAUGAGCUUGUAGGUGGGACAUGUUGUUGUUUAGUGAAGAACUGAUAGCCUUGGCAUUUGCAGACUAAUUGUUUUGCAUCGGCUAAUGCCAUGGGCUAGUAAAAGCCUACUCUAAAAGCUUUGCCUAUGAUUGUUCGUGAAGUGGCGUGAUUACCACAGAUUCCUUUGUCUAUCUCCUUUAAGAUUUCUUGGCCUUCUUCUCGGGUAACACAUUUCAUGAGUACCCCUGAUGAUACACUUUUUCUGUAGAGCUUGUCCCCGACUAGAACGUAGGUUUUUCCUCAUCGCAAAAUUUGCUCAGCUUGGUUUUUGUUGGAUGGAAACUUGUGAUAUUUGAUGCAGUCGAUGAACGGUGAUCUCCAGUCAACUUCUAUCAUCUUGAUUUCCUGAUUGGUUUCGAUAUGCUUGAUCACUGGUGGUGUGACUUGUUCCUGUAUGGAUGGCUUAUGGAGCUCGUGUACAAAAAUUCAUGUUGGAAGUUCUGCACGAGUUGAGCCCAUUUUUG
rnacentral:lncRNA from 1 species